AACGAACGCUGGCGGCAGGCCUAACACAUGCAAGUCGAACGCCGUAGCAAUACGGAGUGGCAGACGGGUGAGUAACACGUGGGAACAUACCCUUCGGUUCGGAAUAACUCAGGGAAACUUGAGCUAAUACCGGAUACGUCCGCGAGGAGAAAGAUUCAUCGCCGGAGGAUUGGCCCGCGUCUGAUUAGCUUGUUGGUGAGGUAACGGCUCACCAAGGCGACGAUCAGUAGCNGGUCUGAGAGGAUGAUCAGCCACAUUGGGACUGAGACACGGCCCAAACUCCUACGGGAGGCAGCAGUGGGGAAUAUUGGACAAUGGGCGCAAGCCUGAUCCAGCCAUGCCGCGUGAGUGAUGAAGGCCCUAGGGUUGUAAAGCUCUUUUACCCGGGAAGAUAAUGACUGUACCGGGAGAAUAAGCCCCGGCUAACUUCGUGCCAGCAGCCGC
rnacentral:rRNA from 1 species